ACGAGGGGGGCAAGCGUUGUUCGGAAUUAUUGGGCGUAAAGGGCGCGUAGGUGGUGCGGUAAGUCACCUGUGAAAACUCUGGGCUCAACUCAGAGCCUGCAGGCGAAACUGCCGUGCUUGAGUGUGGGAGAGGUGCGUGGAAUUCCCGGUGUAGCGGUGAAAUGCGUAGAGAUGUGGAGGAACACCAGUGGCGAAGGCGGCUUUCUGGUCUGUAACUGACGCUGAGGCGCGAAAGCGUGGGGAGCAAACAGGA
rnacentral:rRNA from 1 species